AAAUUUUAAAAGUAGGGUACAGUCCGUAUGUAAACAAAGCCUUUGUUUACAUUUCGGUAUUCAAAAUAUUGAACUUUAUUCGACAACUAUUUAUAUUUUCAUGCUUCUACAGUAUAAUAAAUUAUCAAGCUACAACAAACAGGCUUUGCAAGAACAUAAAAUGAAAUAAAAACCUAAUUAAAGUGUUUAUAUCAGGGCAGUAGACUCUGGGCAGGAGACUCCUAUGUGCGUUUGCGCAAACCGGACUGUACCCUAUCUUUAAUUAAGAAAAAAAUAUUGAGCUUGUUAAGCCAAUGUUAAUUA